rnacentral:rRNA from 1 species
UGGGGAAUUUUGGACAAUGGGGGCAACCCUAAUCCAGCCAUGCCGCGUGCGGGAAGAAGGCCUUCGGGUUGUAAACCGCUUUCAUACGGAACGAAAUGGUGCAGGUUAAUACCCUGUAUUGAUGACGGUACCG